AUGCCUCGGUCCGUUUCUACUGCCAUCGAGAACAGCCGCAGCCAAUUAAAAAUGGUCCUUGACGUUUCCUCUUCCGCUUCCCAUUUCCCAUUCAGCAAAAAUCGUCGUCUCUCUGCCGACGUCGACUCCGCCGGAAGACAGCCGUCGACGGAAGAAAGCUUCCUACUCCACCACCUCCUCGAUAUUGGCCACGCAACAGCUAUUUUGGUGCUCACUUUAAACUAUCUUUUGUCGCUUCCUGUGUGACGACCAAACACACUCAUAUCCACACUACUUUUGUAGUGGCACACAUUUUGGUGCAUAUAACACCACUUUUCUUAUUGUGCUCCUUAAUGUUGGGUUACGUGACAGUUUCAACACUAAAUGUGCCUCUUAUGAAGUAUAUAUAUGUUCCAAUUCUACUUCCUUGUCAUGCCUACAAUAUAUAAAUGAGCU